CCAAUGACAUGCGAUUAUCCCACUUGGUUCAAGGUGUCAGUAGAGAGCAUGGAGGCGGAUACUACUGCGUCACUAACAACCCAUCCAAUGACAGCCAGAGGAGUGCCAUGGUCACUGUUGGAGUGAAGUUGGCUGGCUGGAAGAAGGGGCUGAUCGCAGCAUUCUGCAUCCUGCACAGUGUCUCUCAUCAUCAUCAUCCUGGUUAAGAAAUGCCUUCUUCCAUUUAGAAGAGAGAGAACAGUGGAACUGUCAGUGAAACCAGCAAGCACUAAAACAGACGAGACUCUGAGACUGACCCAUGGAAAAGUCAAUGAGGCUGCCAAUGUCACUCCUGGGGUAAUGGGAAGGAGUGUCUGGAGUGAUCACGUCUCAGGUGAGUGUACCAGAGUUCAUGAGGUCAACUCCUAUAUUUCAACAGUAGGAGCAUUAAAUAUGUAACUAUUCAUGUCUAACAUUAAGUGUGACUAUUGUAGAGUCUGACGACCAGACCAGCGAGGAAACUACUGAGGUACCUGUGCCACAAUACACUGAGGUCCAUCCCCAGGAGGUAGACCUCACCAGAGCCCCCGUGAAGAAAGGCACAGACACUGUGUACAGCAAAGUGCUGAAUUCGAAUCAAGGUGAGUCAGAGUCCGAACAAGCUGACGGCCAAGGCUCAGUUGAGUAUGCCCAGUUAAACCACAAUGACCAUGAGUCAGAAGAACCAGAGUACGAACCAGACCAAGAACCCCGGCCUGAACCAGAGCCAGAACCAGAACAAGGAUCAGAGCAAGACGGACAACUUGAAUGACCACCAUCAAUAUUUAUUCUCUAAUUUAUUCAGCCCAUUGAACAACUGGAGCUGUUAUUGAUUUGAAUCCAUUUGUAUAUUGUCACAAAAAAUGUCGUACUCCUCACAGAAAAUGUCGUAUGGGAGAGAAUAGGACCAAGGCGCAGCAGGUUUGUGGAUACUCAUGCUUUUAAUGGUAAAACGAAAGGGCAUCCACAGGAAAAACAAAAUAAUAGACAGUACUCACGACACGAACAGUUUUGCAGGCUCACAAACACUGUGCAAAAACAACUACCCACAAAACCAAGUGACAAACAUACUCCUACAUAUAUGACUCCCAAUCAGGAACAACGAUCCCCAGCUGUUCCUGAUCAGGAGUCACAAGACCAACACAGAACAUUCACACACACAAGACUGCCACGUCCUGACCCCAAAACUACUACAACAGCUCCCCCUGCUGGUCAGGACGUGACAUAUAUUUUCUAUAUUUUUUACACCUCUUCUUCUUAACCUUUCGUACAGUCUUUAAAUGCCUGUAAUUAUGCCUUUGUGAAUUGAGAAUAAAACAAUGCAGCAGAAUGG
rnacentral:lncRNA from 1 species